AUGACUUUCAACAUAAUAUAAACAUGAGGAUGAUGACAAUGAUAUAAGAAUUCAAUCAAAUAAGUUCAAGAAUUAAUUUGUCCAAGAACUACUAAGGUCCAAAUUGUCAACAUGAUACUGCUUUGUAGAGUAAAAUUCAAGAAUGAUCAGAAGAAUAUUUCCAUGGAAAGAUACUAGAUGAAGCACAAAUAUCAAGGAUAUUCUACUAAUUUCAUGGAGUAUAGAAGUCAAAACUUUAACCAA
rnacentral:lncRNA from 1 species